UUAUAUGCAAUGUUUCAGCUUGCAUAUGAUAGAAAAGCUCAAAAUGUGUGUGGACUAUUUCAAAAUCUCAAAAUGUGAAAAAAUAUUGUCCAGAAACGUGCUCACUCUUUUGGUGGUUUAGGAUUAAAUGUUUGUUGUUAAUUCAUUGUUGUAGUUGUAGACAUUAAAUAGGUGGCAUUUAGUAUACACAAGUUCAUGUUUUUGGGUAUCAUACAAAAGUGAGUUUUUCACCAUUGAUAUAUUAUUAAAAAAUUCAAUGGCUAAGAUUAAAGAAUGA
rnacentral:lncRNA from 1 species